rnacentral:rRNA from 1 species
AGAGCGAACGCUUGGCGGCAGGCCUAAAACAUGCAAGUCGAACGAACCCUUCGGGGUUAGUGGCGGACGGGUGAGUAACACGUGGGAACGUGCCUUUUGGUUCGGAACAACUCAGGGAAACUUGAGCUAAUACCGAAUGUGCCCUUCGGGGGAAAGAUUUAUCGCCAUUAGAGCGGCCCGCGUCUGAUUAGCUAGUUGGUGAGGUAAAGGCUCACCAAGGCUACGAUCAGUAGCUGGUCUGAGAGGAUGAUCAGCCACACUGGGACUGAGACACGGCCCAGACUCCUACGGGAGGCAGCAGUAGGGAAUCUUGCGCAAUGGGCGAAAGCCUGAUCCAGCCAUGCCGCGUGAGUGAUGAAGGCCUUCGGGUUGUAAAACUCUUUCGACGGGACGAUAAUGACGGUACCGUAGAAGAAGCUCCGGCUAACUUCGUGCCAGCAGCCGC